rnacentral:rRNA from 1 species
UAGAGUUUGAUCCUGGCUCAGGAUGAACGCUGGCGGCGUGCUAUACAUGCAGUCGAACGCACAGCGAAAGGUGCUUGCACCUUUCAAGUGAGUGGCGAACGGGUGAGUAACACGUGGAUAACCUACCUCAAGGUUGGGGAUAACAUUUGGAAACAGAUGCUAAUACCGAAUAAAACUUAGUAUCGCAUGAUACCAGGUUAAAAGGCGCUACGGCGUCACCUAGAGAUGGAUCCGCGGUGCAUUAGUUAGUUGGUGGGGUAAAGGCUUACCAAGACAAUGAUGCAUAGCCGAGUUGAGAGACUGAUCGGCCACAUUGGGACUGAGACACGGCCCAAACUCCUACGGGAGGCUGCAGUAGGGAAUCUUCCACAAUGGGCGAAAGCCUGAUGGAGCAACGCCGCGUGUGUGAUGAAGGCUUUCGGGUCGUAAAGCACUGUUGUAUGGGAAGAACAGCUAGAGUAGGGAAUGACUUUAGUUUGACGGUACCAUACCAGAAAGGGACGGCUAAAUACGUGCCAGCAGCCGCGGUAAUACGUAUGUCCCGAGCGUUAUCCGGAUUUAUUGGGCGUAAAGCGAGCGCAGACGGUUAAUUAAGUCUGAUGUGAAAGCCCGGAGCUCAACUCCGGAAAGGCAUUGGAAACUGGUUAACUUGAGUGCAGUAGAGGUAAGUGGAACUCCAUGUGUAGCGGUGGAAUGCGUAGAUAUAUGGAAGAACACCAGCGGCGAAGGCGGCUUACUGGACUGUAACUGACGUGAGGCUCGAAAGUGUGGGUAGCAAACAGGAUUAGAUACCCUGGUAGUCCACACCGUAAACGAUGAACACUAGGUG